UACAGAGGGUGCGAGCGUUAAUCGGAGUUACUGGGCGUAAAGGGCGCGUAGGCGGUUCGUUAAGUGAUAUGUGAAAUCCCUGGGCUUAACCUAGGAACUGCAUGUCAUACUGGCGAGCUAGAGUAUUGUAGAGGGUAGUGGAAUUUCCGGUGUAGCGGUGAAAUGCGUAGAGAUCGGAAGGAACACCAGUGGCGAAGGCGGCUACCUGGACAAAUACUGACGCUGAGGCGCGAAAGCGUGGGGAGCAAACAGG
rnacentral:rRNA from 1 species